GACGACAACGACGACGAUGGUACGAACUGUGUGUGUGCGUUGUGGGAUGCGCGAAACGACUAAGCGAAGUACGACGACGGUUGGGUCAUUUCGACACUGCGACACCACCGGGACACUGCCGGCUUCUUCCAUCAAAACUGCACACAAUCCUAAUUCUCUCAUCGGAUGCUGUGUUGUCUCGUUCCCGUUUCGCGUGUGUUCGUUUGUGUAGUUUUUAUUUUUUGUUUCUACUUCUACACGCACUUCAGCACAGUUUGAGCAAACACUUCCCCCCAUGUAUACGUAUCUGGUAGUGUCGUGUAAAAAAAAAUGAUGACGUCAUGACUUCACGCUAUAAUCGAAGCUUAAGCGCACUGUCCUAAGGGCUAAUUGUUAGACGCAGAAAAAACAUAGCACAACGUGGAUAAGUUAAUCGUCAUCGGGCCGAACGUCGUCAACCUUACAAUCUGCUGACUAACACCUGCACCGAUCGCGCGAUUUGUGAUCCAUCGUACGACCGCGAAGGCUAUCGAUUUACAAUAAUGAUGUUUGUGUGUAAGUGUUGGCGGGGGAGUGGGGGGCGGUUGUAGAAGAUGCAGUUGUAGCAACAAAACAAAACAUUCCCUCCCCGGGCCGGUCACUCGACCACAACCACGACAAACCAAAAGCGGCACACACGCGUUUUUUUAAGGGCAAUUUCGUGCCCCACCGUUAUGCUGACCGAGCACCUUUUUUGACGACCUUUUUGACACACGUGUAGUACGGUUGCCAUAAGCAACGACACGUUAGCCGUGGCUGCAUAUGGCUUUGGGUGCAUUUUUAUCGUGUUCUUGAUAUGGUGCUUGCGGCUGGUUGGGGAGGGAGCUGGACAAUUAUUGCCGGCGUCUGAACGUGUGCAAUCGAUAGAGAAGUUACGAUGGAAUGUCUUCCUGCUUCCUAGAAUGCGCUAAAAGAAUAUUGUGUGAGAGUAAAAACUAAGGUAAAUAAAUUAAAGCAAUAGAAUCUCUUCUCUAUGAUAAAAUUGUAGUAGAAGCUGAUCAGCGUUACUUUCCAGCGGUAGCUUGGAUGCUUUUUGCUUAGUUUACAUCCAUGCAAUGGCAACCGCUUUGGUUAUGGAAAACGCAACGCCGACUUAGUUUUUAAUGAUUGGAAAGGUUAGUAGAAGAAUAAUGCAAAUUACAGUCACAAUUCAAUGGAUUAACGCUUUUCCAUGGGUUUUCGAGAGUUGUCAAUUUCCCAAAAAGUGAUGCAAGGAUCUGUUCAGGAAGCCACAAAGACAGAAAAUAUGUGUGCUAAUGGUUAUGGGGCCCCACCACUGUCAUGCAUGCAUGCUAUGCUAUACAUGCUUUCGAAACUUAUGAAGUACCACGCAGUCGGAUAGAUAGUCAGUCAUCAAAAUCCUUGCUUAGGGCGACAGUCCAUACGAGGCUUGAACCCAGGACGGGCAUGUUAUGUUGCUAAGUCUUCCGAGUUGACGAUUAUACUGCAGGUAGUGGCGGGUUUACAGUGUUGGAGACCCUAAACGGUAAGAAUUGUUGAGGCCUUCUGUAUAUGAUUACCUGUGUGUACCCAUAAUCCGUCGUGGAUAAUGUAACAUUUCAACUAAAAUUUUGUUGCUGCUGCUGGUGGGGGGGGGAUGCAUAGGGUUCGUCUAGCACGGGACCCCAACGUCCAUCACCCACGGAGCCCUCCUUGGUAAUACAGUGCUAUAUUCUAUCAACUGUUAUAGAUACUGGACUAAAGUAGACUCGAUAGUUCCAUGACUAACAUAAAUGCUGGUAAUAUUUUUGGACCCAAAUUUAAAACUAGCAGUAUCAGGGCCUGCAAUGGGGGCAGGAUCUGUUUUAGGACCGAUAUAGAAUAUUAAUCAGUUCAAGGACCGGAAUGGUUUUGUGAUCAGUUCCAUUACCGGUAGGUACUAGGUUUCAGGAUCUGUAUGGAUUCAGUGUAAGUUCUGGUAUGGGUUCGGGAUCAAUUCCAGAACCGGUACGGCUUUGGGAGCAAUUCCAGGACCGGUAUAGAGUCAAGAUCAAUUGCAGGACCGGUGUGGGAUCGGGAUCAAUUCCAUGACUGGUAUGAUGUUAGGAUCAUUUAAAGCAGUGCUCCCCAACCUUUUUAGGAUCGCACAUCCGUUCAGGGCAUACAUUUUUAAGAUUUAGUUCAAAGUUUUUUUUAUCAAACAUAUGUUUAAAUCUCAUUCUAGACAUUUCUGUUGAACAUUUAUUACUGAUUGUGAGGAAAAAUAAAAAAAAGCUUUUCUUUUGCAAAAAUAAAUUGUUUCGCGGACUACACCUGUUAACGCUACGGACCACAGGUUGGAGAGCACUGAGUGAAAGGACCGGUAAUGGGUUAGAAUCAGUUCCAAGACCAGUGUGGCUUGUUCUAAGACCUUUAUGGGAUUGGAAUCAGUUCCAGCAUCAGUAUGAUAUCUCUAAAAUUCCAGCAUCGACAUGCGUUCAUGAUUAGGCACAGGAUCGGUAUGGGUUCUUAACCAGUUUCUCUUAAUGUGUCCCUUGGAGUUAAAAAUCCCAUAGAAUUUGCUUUGUCUUUUAAGAAAUCCAUUGCUCGCAUCCUAAAGAUAUAAAAUGUCUUGAAAUUAGCUUGCAUAACCCUGUAACCGGGACAAAUUAUCUAGUUUGAAAAGAAAAUAAAGAAAAAGUAAGAUUUAUAAAAAUCAGUAAAAGUAGUUUUACAUAAUAAAUAUGUAAUCGAGCAUAAUAAAAUAAUAAUAA